GACGAACGCUGGCGGCGUGCUUAACACAUGCAAGUCGAACGGAAAGGCGCUGCUUUUGUUGGUUUCUCGAUUGCCGAACGGGUGAGUAACACGUGAGUAACCUGCCCUUGACUUUGUGAUAACUUCAGGAAACUGGGGCUAAUACCGGAUAGGAUCUCCUGCUGCAUGUUGGUGGUUGGUAAGUGUCGGCUGUUGGGGAUGGACUCGCUGGUUAUCAGCUUGUUGGUGGGGUAGUGGCUUACCAAGGCUUUGACGGGUAGCCGGCCUGAGAGGGUGACCGGCGUCAUUGGGACUGCGAUACGGCCCAGACUCCUACGGGCGGCAGAAGUCGGGAAUCUUGCACAAUGGGCGGAAGCCUGAUGCAGCAACGCCGCGUGCGGGAUGACGGCCUUCGGGUUGUAAACAGAUUUCGCAUGUGCCGAAGAGUGCGUGACGGUAAUGGGUAAAGAAGCCCCGGCUAACUACGUG
rnacentral:rRNA from 1 species